GGAGUUUCACACAACAAUCCCACGCCGAGGAGUGCUCAGCCACAGUCUUAAGAAGCUCCCCAACGACGCUCCAUUAGCUGCAGGUGUGUGAGUCAUCAUCUGCUUCAGGUGUGGCCAUCCUUUAGGUAGGACACGCCCACCAGGCCUACCUGAACCCAGUACUCAGCCACACUCACAGACACACCCACUUGCCUAUACAUACAAGGAUGGGGAAUACAAGAACAGCAGCAGAGCAGACAACACACACAUCACAAAAUAACAGCAAUGAUUAUAAUAGUGGUCCACACUGCCCACGGACCCUGAAUCCCUGGAGCUGAGUCCGUGACAGUUGGGAUUGUGGGUGUACAACUGAAUAUAGAAAAAGCACAAGCCAAUGUAAAUAGACAGCUGUACCAAUGGGCUAAGUAUAGGUUUUUAUUGCGUCCAAAAAAAAAUGACCUGGCCGAAACUGGAAGUGACGUCAUUUUCGCGGAAAAUGUAGGUUUUUUACCUCCAAGACCUUAUGAGCCUAUACUGGUGUUUUUAAGAGAUUACUAUGGACUUAAUGCAUAUAAUGUAAUACUCAUAUUAUUAUAAAUUUGGGCUAUAACGGUUGUAUUGAUGUAUAGCAAAUUGAAAUGCUCCCAAAAAUGGCACUAUAGCAUGUAAAAAUAUAAAGAUAAGCUCUGGCGGACUUGGUUCUAUGGUAGGUCUUAAAGGGUUAAUUAUUGCACAUAUCUCCCUUGGUGUUUUCUUUCCUUCUUUCUUUACACCGUGCUGGAUUUUGUUCCACAGCCCCCGAUGUUUACGCUGUAGUGAGAUGUGAGAACGACAACGUCAGGACGCGGGUGUUCAAGGAGAGCGGAAACCCUGAAUUCAACCUGAGAACCAUCUUCUACAGGAGAUACCCCAACACAGACAUCUCUGUUGAGAUAUACAGCAGAGGUCUGCUGUGGGACUCGCUCCUCGGUGAGACUCGACUCCAGACGGCCGAGUCUGAGAGGAGUCGAAGCCUCGUGAUGAAUCUGCGAGGCGGACGGUCUCGUUCAGGGCUCAGAGGUUGCGUCUAUCUUGAGACGUCUUCCAGCGUGUGCCUCACAGACUUGUGACAGUCUGGCUGCCCUGGCAAACACUGCCCUCUCAGGUAGAAGCUGAUGAGCAAAUUCUACUAAACUAAAUAAAGCUGUGUGACAAAAGGUGCUGUAGUUUUUUGUUUUUUUGACCUGUUGUAUUUUAAACCACAGUG
ensembl:lncRNA